rnacentral:rRNA from 1 species
UACGUAGGGUGCGAGCGUUAAUCGGAAUUACUGGGCGUAAAGCGUGCGCAGGCGGCUUUGCAAGACAGAUGUGAAAUCCCCGGGCUCAACCUGGGAACUGCAUUUGUGACUGCAAGGCUAGAGUACGGCAGAGGGGGAUGGAAUUCCGCGUGUAGCAGUGAAAUGCGUAGAUCUGCGGAGGAACACCAAUGGCGAAGGCAAUCCCCUGGGCCUGUACCGACGCUCAUGCACGAAAGCGUGGGGAGCAAACAGG